rnacentral:rRNA from 1 species
GAUGAACGCUAGCGGCAGGCUUAAUACAUGCAAGUCGUGGGGCAGCAUGAAUGUAGCAAUACAUUUGAUGGCGACCGGCAAACGGGUGCGGAACACGUACACAACCUUCCUAUAAGUGGGGAAUAGCCCAGAGAAAUUUGGAUUAAUACCCCGUAACAUAAUGAUGUGGCAUCACAUUAUUAUUAUAGCUUCGGCGCUUAUUGAUGGGUGUGCGGCUGAUUAGAUAGUUGGCGGGGUAACGGCCCACCAAGUCUACGAUCAGUAGCUGAUGUGAGAGCAUGAUCAGCCACACGGGCACUGAGACACGGGCCCGACUCCUACGGGAGGCAGCAGUAAGGAAUAUUGGUCAAUGGACGCAAGUCUGAACCAGCCAUGCCGCGUGAAGGAUUAAGGUCCUCUGGAUUGUAAACUUCUUUUAUCUGGGACGAAAAAAGGCGAUUCUUCGUCACUUGACGGUACCAGAUGAAUAAGCACCGGCUAACUCCGUGCCAGCAGCCGCCGCCGUAA